CCUACGGGAGGCUGCAGUCGAGAAUCAUUCACAAUGGGGGAAACCCUGAUGGUGCGACGCCGCGUGGGGGAAUGAAGGUCUUCGGAUUGUAAACCCCUGUCAUGUGGGAGCAAAUUAAAAAGAUAGUACCACAAGAGGAAGAGACGGCUAACACUGUGCCAGCAGCCGCGGUAAUACAGAGGUCUCAAGCGUUGUUCGGAAUCACUGGGCGUAAGGCGUGCGUAGGCGGUUUCGUAAGUCGUGUGUGAAAGGCGCGGGCUCAACCCGCGGACGGCACAUGAUACUGCGAGACUAGAGUAAUGGAGGGGUAACCGGAAUUCUCGGUGUAGCAGUGAAAUGCGUAGAUAUCGAGAGGAACACUCGUGGCGAAGGCGGGUUCCUGGACAUUAACUGACGCUGAGGCACGAAGGCCAGGGGAGCGAAAGGGAUUAGAUACCCGAGUAGUC
rnacentral:rRNA from 1 species